rnacentral:rRNA from 1 species
UACGUAGGGUGCAAGCGUUAAUCGGCAUUACUGGGCGUAAAGGGUGCGUAGGCGGUUGUUUAAGUCUGUCGUGAAAUCCCCGGGCUCAACCUGGGAAUGGCGAUGGAUACUGGGCAGCUAGAGUGUGUCAGAGGAUGGUGGAAUUCCCGGUGUAGCGGUGAAAUGCGUAGAGAUCGGGAGGAACAUCAGUGGCGAAGGCGGCCAUCUGGGACAACACUGACGCUGAAGCACGAAAGCGUGGGGAGCAAACAGG